rnacentral:rRNA from 1 species
AUCAUCCGUGCGAGUUGUUCCGCAUUCUCGUCCCCGGUACUGCUGGUCCGCAAGGCCGACGGGUCCUGGCGCUUCUGCAUCGAUUAUCGCGCCCUGAACGCCAUUACUGUCAAGAAUGCGUUCCCGAUUCCGGUGGUGGACGAACUCCUCGACGAGCUACGGCACGCUCGUUUCUUCACCAAGCUCGAUUUACGUUCCGGCUACCACCAGGUGCGGAUGCGUGCGGAGGACAUCCCGAAGACAGCUUUCCGUACUCAUGACGGCCUCUACGAGUUUCUGGUGAUGCCGUUCGGACUCUGCAACGCGCCGGCCACGUUCCAGGCCCUCAUGAAUGAUCUGCUGCGGCCAUACCUGCGCCGUUUUGUUCUCGUCUUCUUUGACGACAUCCUCAUUUUCAGCGAGACAUGGGCUGACCAUCUCCGACAUGUGCGCACCGUCUUCACGGUCCUGCACCAGCACCGGCUCUUCGUCAAGCGCUCCAAAUGCGCGUUCGCCGUUGAAUCAAUCGCAUACCUGGGUCACACCAUCUCCGCUGCAGGCGUGGCCAUGGAUCCGGAAAAGGUGCAGGCAGUGGCGGACUGGCCGCAACCACGCUCGGCGCGCGCGGUUCGGGGCUUUCUCGGCCUUGCGGGGUACUACCGCAAGUUUGUCAAGGACUUUGGCGUGGUUGCCGCGCCCCUGACGGCCCUCCUUCGCAAGGAUGGUUUCUCUUGGUCGCCGGAGGCGGCAGCAGCUUUUAACACCCUCAAGACGGCAAUCACCACGGCUCCCGUCCUCGCGUUACCGGAUUUUACACGGCCGUUCAUCGUCGAGUGUGACGCAUCGACGUACGGUUUCGGGGCCGUCCUUCUUCAGGACCACCACCCGGUGGCUUUCUUUAGCCGGCCAGCCGCGCCACGUCACCGUUCCCUGGCAGCGUAUGAACGGGAACUCAUCGGCCUGGUGCUCGCGAUUCGCCACUGGAGGCCGUACCUAUGGGGGCACCAGUUUGUGGUAAAAACGGAUCAUUACAGCCUCAAAUUUCUGCUUGACCAGCGUUUGGCCACCAUCCCGCAGCAUCAUUGGGUUGGCAAACUCCUGGGAUUCGACUUUACGGUGGAGUACAAGGCAGGUAGUACCAACACGGUGGCGGAUGCACUUUCCCGCCGCGACACGGAGGAGACGACGAUCAUGGCGGUCUCGGGGCCUCGUUUCGACUUCAUCAAUCGCCUCCGGCAAGCGACGUCCACUGAUCCGGCGCUCGUCACACUGCGGGAGGAUAUCACGGCAGGCGCGCGGCAACAGCCUUGGGCGCUCUCCGACGGCCUCGUUACUUUCAACGGCCGCCUCUACAUUCCGCCGUCAUCCCCGCUACUCCAGGAGAUUCUCAGUGCCGUGCACGAUGAUGGGCAUGAAGGCGUCCUGCGCACAUUGCAUCGUCUCCGCCGCGAUUUCCACGCACCUAACCUUCGCAAGACGGUGCAGGAGUACGUCCGCAAUUGCGGUACUUGCCAGCGGUACAAGUCCGAGCACUUGCACCCCGCUGGGCUGCUACUACCGCUGCCGGUGCCCACGGGCGUGUGGACUGACAUCGGCAUCGACUUCGUGGAAGCGCUUCCUCGAGUAGGCGGGAAGUCUGUCAUCCUCACCGUGGUGGAUCGCUUCAGCAAGUAUUGCCAUUUUGUGGCGUUAGCCCACCCAUACACGGCAGAGUCAGUGGCACAGGUGUUUUUCGCUGAGGUUGUU